CCUUCCGCACUUCCAAAAGACAGAAACUUGGUGCGACCGAGUCGGCUCGGAACUCCAGGCUACACUAAACCCUUGACGCAAAUGAGGGCCAGCUGGAGGCUCCCGGAAAAGAUUUUUGAAGCCCUCAAGGAAAGAGGAUGUUAAAAGAACGUUUGCAGUGAGUCGGGAACUACAAGAGGGCCAGCGCAGCGCCCGCUAAAUCACACCUGAUGUUGCCAACCCCACCUACCUGUAUGACCCAGUGCGCCUGUCACUGGGUGUAUCUCAGACUUUACAAUUCAGGACUAAGGCACCUGCGUCAGGACAAAUGAAUUGUCAGCGCUCUGUUUAGGUGCUGGAGGUAAACCAUGUCAUUCUAGAAGAGUUUGAGGCCUUGGACAACACUAAUCAAGCCCAAAGAAUUCCUGAUACAGACCCUAGUAUCCCUUGGCCAAGGACAUGUGAAUAAAAUGGUCCAAUCAAAGUGGAUCCUGGGACUUGUUAAGGAACAACAGGGAAGAGACAAUGCCUCUUCUAUAAAUUUGAAUCUGAGUGAAUAUGUGCCUGAAGUUUCUGGGGACUACCACAUGGAACCUGAGAGUGAAGACAACGCAGGGGAAGACAGAGUGAAGGAUGCAGAGUAACUAAAUCUUGGUGACAGAGUUUGAACCUUUAAAAUGAGACCCUCCUUCUCCUGUCUACACAUGGACUUUUCAAUUAUUUGUUGCCAGGACACAAACCUGAUCUAACUCUGCUGCUUAAGAAGCUUCCAUGGCUCCCAGUCACCUACAGUACAUGGGCGUCUCACUGUCGUGGCCUCUCC